rnacentral:tRNA from 1 species
GGAUUGUGGCUCAGCGGUAGAGCACUCACCUAGCACAUGCGGGGCCCUGGGUUCGAUCCUCAGCACCA